rnacentral:lncRNA from 1 species
GCAAUCUGCUUUGGUCCCAUUCCACCCUGUGGAGGCUUUGUUCUUCCGCUCUUUGCAGUAAACCUUGCUGCUGCUUACUCUUUGGGUUCGCACCGCCUUAAGAGCUGUAACAUCACGAAGGUCUGCAGCUUCACUCCUGAGGCCAGCGAGACCACGAACCCACUGGGAGGAACGAACAACUCCCAACAGGAGGAAUGAAUAACUCCGGAUGGGAAGAACGAACAGUUCUGGACGGGAGGAACAAACAACUCUAGACGCGCCACCUUAAGAGCUGUGACACUCACUGUGAAGGUCUGCAGCUUCACUCCUGAAGCCAGUGAGACCAUGAACUCACCAGAAGGAAGAAACUCCAAACACAUACGAACAUCAGAAGGAACAAACUCCGGACACACCAUCUUUAAGAACCAUAACACUCACCGGGAGGGUCUGUGGCUUCGUUCUUGAAGGGCUGUUCUGCUUGCUGGAUUGGAAAUGAUUUUAGCCCCUCAUGCCAGGAAGAAAACAUAGGCAGAUUUCUCACCAGCUAAAAAGGAAGGAAAAAUUGUGAAGUGAAAUUUUCUACUGGCUGUGGUUUAUCCAUGUUAAAUUGUAAAGCAUAUAACACAGAUGGAAUCCGGCACAUGCAAAACACUCACAAAACCUAGUUACUACUACUGCUGGCGCUGCGGCUACACGACUACAACUACUACUACAGCCACUACUCUCCUCCUACUGCUACUGCUGCUGCUGCUAGUGUUUCGUAAAGUGGAGCUACAGAAAUCAACAUUUUUUUUCUUAGCUGCACAGUGAAUUCGUUUUUUGGACUCCAGUAUUCUUCCUGAAGGUCUGUUUCAUCCUAGUAUGACUCUCACUUUUUUUUCAAAAUUUUAUUUUAUUUUAUUUUUGAAAUGGAGCCUCACUCUGUUGCCCAGGCUGGAGUGCAGUGGCGUGAUCUCGGCUCACUACAACCUCCGCCUCUGGGUUCAAGAGAUUCUCCUGCCUCGGCCUACUGAGUAGCUGGGAUUACAGGCACGCGCCACCACGCCCAGCUAAUUUUUGUAUUUUCAGAAGAGAUGGGGUUUCACCAUGUUGGCCAGGAGGGUCUCAAUCUCCUGACCUCAUGAUCCGCCUGCCUCGGCUUCCCAAAGUGCUGGGAUUGCAGGCGUGAGCCACCAUGCCUCUACAUUUUAAUUUUUUAAAACUUACCAUCUUUAUCAUUUUUAAGUGUACAGUUAAGUGGUAAUAAAUACAUAUGUAUCUCCUAUCUCAUUUCCUUAUUUUCAUCCCCCAUCCCAUUUCUGGACUCUGGCUAAUAGCAGUCUACUCGGUAUCAUCACGAGAUCCACGUUUUUAGUUUCCACAUAUGAAUGAGAACAUGCGAUAUUUGUCUUUCUGUGCUUGGCUUAUUUCACUUAACAUAAUGGCCUCUGGUUCCAUCCAUGCUGCUGCAAGUGACAGGAUUUCACUCUUUUUAUAGCUGAAUAAUAUUCCAUUGUGUAAAUAUAACACAUUUCCUUUAUUCAUCUGUUGAUGGGUACUUACGUUGAUUCUAUAUUUUGAAUAGUGCUGCAGUAAACAUGGGAGGGAGAUAUCUCUUUAAUAUACUGAUUUCCUUUCUUUUGAGUAUAUACCCAGCAGUGAAAUUGCUAGACCAAAUGGUAGUUCUAUUUUUAGUUUUUUUGCAGAACCUCCAUACUGUUCUAAUUUACAUUCCCACCAACAGCGUAUGAGGAUUCCCCUUUCUCCACAUCUUCGCCAGAUCUGUUAUCGCCUGCCUUUAUUUACUUAUUUUUAUUUUUAAUUCUUGUGGGUACGUAGUAGGUAUAUAUGGGAUACAUUAGCUGUUUUGAUAUAGACAUGCAAUCUGUAAUAAUCAUAUCAUGGAAAAUGGGGUAUCCGUCCCCUCAAGCAUUUAUUCUUUGUGUUACCAACAAUUCAAUUAUACUCUUUCAGUUAUUUUGAAAUGUAUAAUUAAAUUAUUAUUGAUGUAGUCUCCCUGUUGUGCCGUCAUUAAUUCUAAGACUUAUUCAUUAAUUCUAUUUUUUGUACCCAUUGCCUGCCUUUUUGAUACAAGCCAUUUUAACUGGGGUGCAAUGAUAUCUCAUUGUGGUUUUGAUUUGCACUUCUCUGAUGAUUAGUGAUAUUGAGCAUUUUUUCUUAUACCUGUUAGCCAUGUGUAUGUCUGUUUUUGAGAAAUGUCUGUUCAAAUCUUUUGCC